rnacentral:tRNA from 1 species
GGAGGGGUGCCCGAGCGGCUAAAGGGGGCAGACUGUAAAUCUGUUGGCCUUCGCGCCUACGUUGGUUCGAAUCCAACCCCCUCCACCA